rnacentral:rRNA from 1 species
CCUACGGGAGGCAGCAGUGGGGAAUAUUGCACAAUGGGGGAAACCCUGAUGCAGCGACGCCGCGUGAGUGAAGAAGUAUUUCUGUAUUUAAAGCCCUAUCAGCAGGGAAGAAAAUGACGGUACCUGAUUAAGAAGCCCCGGCUAACUACGUGCCAGCAGCCGCGGUAAUACGUAGGGGGCAAGCGUUAUUCGGAUUUACUGGGUGUAAAGGGAGCGUAGACGGCAGCACAAGUCUGGUGGGAAAUGCCGGGGCUUAACCCCGGAGCUGCUUUGGAAACUGGGCAGCUUGAGUGGAGGAGAGGUAAGUGGAAGUCCUAGUGUAGCGGUGAAAUGCGUAGAUAUUAGGAGGAACACCAGUGGCGAAGGCGGCUUACUGGACUGUAACUGACGUUGAGGCACGAAAGCGUGGGGAGCGAACAGGAUUAGAUACCCCAGUAGUC